UUUUCUUUCUUUCUCUCCCUCUUUCUCUUUCUACCUCCAUUCUUUCCCCUCUCUUAUUUUUUUCCCAAACCCAUCUUUUAGAACCCUAGCCAAAUUCACGGCAACAAGAAAGGCAAGUCGGCAACGGGGACAGCAACGAGUGCGGCUUCCAGAUUGCAUUUGGUGGCUUAAAGAAGUUGGAAAUUACUGAGUUGGAUAGUGUGACUAACAUCUGGUGCCACCAACCUACUACAAGCUGGUUCAGUGAACUUGAAGUACUGGUGGUUAUGUCAUGUGACACUUUGAGAAACUAUUCUCUCAUUCCAUUGCCAAAGUUCUUGUACAACUCAAACACAUGACAGUAGAAAAGUGUGUCAUGAUGCAAGAAGUUAUAGCAGAGGAUUGUGAAAUAGGACAACCAGAAAUUAAUGAAUCAUUGUUUCCCCAACUGAAAGUAUUAGAACUUCGGAGGCUGCCACUACUUGAGAGUUUUUGUCACAUGAUUAAAGAUUUGGAGUUACCAUCACUGGAAGAUGUGACUCUUUACAACUGCCCAAGAAUGAAGGAAUUUUCUGGAGGACGAUUAAGAAUGCCAAUGUCAAAAUGCGUGAAAAGAGACCACUCAGUAUAUAGAAUUGAUGGUAUAAUUACACGUAGAACAUCUCUUCAAUGAAAAGCACCUAUUUGUUCAUCAGUCAUGGCCCUUUCACAAACAAUAUCAGGCUACGGAAGAAGAAUUCAUGGAGGAAGAGAUCAUGAAAGGAUCAAUUCAUUCCCAUCCAGAAUUGAGCAGCCAGGCUACUAGAGGCAAUGCAUGUGCAAGUUUUCAAUAUGACGAGAAUCAGAAGAGUCUUUGCUUGGCUUCAAGGCAAAGCACCAUUACUGAAGAAGUUAAUGCAGAUUCCCCUGAAAGCUAUUCGUUUUAACUAGAGGAGAAAAUAAGGGAUAAAGAUGUUUCUGCAAGCCAUUCUUAUGUAGGAGCAAAAGAAGAUGAAGGGAAAGCAGAGGAAAUUAGGCGUGACGCAAAGUUGGAAGUAACUACAGACGUGAAUUCCAGGUGUCUACCUGUUUAACCGUUGAGAGGUAGAUUUUCUGCAAUUGGAUGUAGCAAGAAAAGCUUUUGAGAGAGCUAAGAUGUCGAGCGACAGGGUCGAGCUGGGUUCUCAAGUAAGAAAGCUUCCAUGCAAACAUUUAUAUCACUCAGAUUGUAUUGUGUCAUGGCUAGAACAACGCAGUUCAUGUCCUGUCUGCCGCCAACAGCUAACUAGUCAGCAAAUGACCAGUGGCUCCGAUAAUCAGAACUCAAGAGAACCAAGUAGAGGUAGGAGUAGCAGCAGGAGAGUGGGUAGUCGAGAGGAUAGAACUGCAAAUCAGGGAGCGAAGAGGCGGUGGUCAUUCAUGUGGCCCUUUGGUUCGUCCCGAUCCAAUCCUAACCCGUCAUGAAACUAUUGAAGCUCGUACAGAUCCCUACCAGCAAAAUGGCCACCAGUCAGAGUAUUCCCACUGGCCUUUCGAAUAUUAAGGUCUUUCAAUUUCUCAGUGUCUCGCUUUCUUUAUGAUCAUAAUGUUCCAUCCUCUAUUUGAACAAAUACAAGUGUCGCAGACAAGGAAGUGUUUUGUCAUCGUUUCUGCUAAAUGACAAAUUGGUAUUGUGCUUGUCAUCUUCAUCAUUCUUCACUGUUCUUCAGAAUAUGUGUUUAAGAAGUCAAAAGUUACCUA